AGUCAAGUACUUGACUACACCCAGCAGCCUUCCGUCACUGAAUUAGAAAUUCAGGUAGUCCAGUGCCUAAGUACAGUGAGUUGCUUGCAAGUCACCGUGGUGGUCUCAAGUCGGAGGGAUAUUUAUACCCAUAUUCCAUCGGAGUAAAUCUUGACAGCAAAAAUAGCUCCGGAGUCGGUCAUGUUCAGUGCAGAUGUACCCUUACAUCUCACCUAUAUGCCAUACCAGUGUC
rnacentral:lncRNA from 1 species